AUAUAUAUAUGUAUAUAUAUAAAUUGAUGAUGAUGACGUAUAUUAAUAUAGCUUAAGUUCAAAUGAAACUUUGUUGCCGUAAAGCACGUGCGUCCGACGUUUUAGAAACGUCUAUGUGUGAGUGUGUGUGUGUGAAG